rnacentral:rRNA from 1 species
GAUGAACGCUGGCGGCGUGCUUAACACAUGCAAGUCGAACGGGAUCCAAGGGGUGCUUGCACUUUUUGGUGAGAGUGGCGAACGGGUGAGUAACACGUGAGUAACCUGUCCUUUUCUUUGGGAUAAGCAUUCGAAAGGGUGUUUAAUACCUUAUGUUCUGUCUGCCUCGCAUGGGGUGGGUGGGAAAGGCUUUGGCCGGAUUUGGGUGGGCUCGCGGUCUAUCAGCUUGUUGGUGGGGUGAUGGCUUACCAAGGCUUUGACGGGUAGCCGGUCUGAGAGGGUGGUGGAACAGAGAGGGACUGAGGAACGGCCCGGGAGGCAGCAGGAGGCAGCAGUGGGGGAUAUUGCACAAUGGGCGAAAGCCUGAUGCAGCGACGCAGCGUGGGGGAUGGAGGCCUUCGGGUUGUAAACUUCUUUUGCUCUGAGCAAGGCAUGCCAGUGGGUGUGUUGAGUGUAGGGGUUGAUUAGCGCCGGCUAACUACGUG